GCUUGUGCCUGAUAAUUCAUUUCUGAAGUGCCUGAAGAUUGAUGCGUCAGAUUUGCACAAUGUGCUACUUAGGAGAUUAUUUCUUCCUUCCUUCAGCCAGACAGGAGACUGCAGUGCGGAUAUGGUCCCUGUUUGCCUAUUUUCAUCCACAACUCUGCCAGAGACGAAAGAAGUGUUUGAAACAAUUCACCCAGAUUUCCAUCUGUAAUCAUCAAGAAUGAAUUGAUUAAAUUCCUUAAGAAAUUUACUUCAAGUCAUGAUUUUGACGGCCUAGUGCUAUCUGGAAAAGGGACAGCAGCAGCCUGGAGCAGUUUUCUAGCUAACAAGAAUUUUGUUAGCUAUGUGGCCACCUAGUGGCUCUUCCAUGAAUGUCACUGAUGGAUUGUCAGGUACACAGACAAUUACCCACUAAUAAAGAAGUUAUUAUCUU
rnacentral:antisense_RNA from 1 species